UCGUCGUUGAUAUAUUAUAUCGGCCAUUUCAUUAUUUCUAUGAAGAAAGUUUGGCUAUCAUACACAAAUAAAAAGAAUGAAUAUGGCAAUGAUAGUCUGGGAGUACAUAACAUAUAAAUGGAAGUUGGUGUGAUUGACGUAUUUGGCUAUCUACUAGAUGAUUUCUGACCUUUUUCUGUCUCUUUUUGGAGGAAAGUUUGCGAAAUACAAUAAAGGCAACGACAUGAGAGAUAUCAACAAUGCUGAUGUCAUGUAAAAACACUCUAAUCUCGAUAUCGAAAUUCUUUAAACUGACCAAGAAAAAUAUUAACGUUUUGAUAAUGAAUUCAUUGUCUUGAUAGAUUUCUAUAUUUUGUCUCCCUUGUUAUGUUAAAAUACACAUUUUUCGCCAAUAAAUUUACUCUCUCUUACAAUUA
rnacentral:lncRNA from 1 species